rnacentral:ncRNA from 1 species
UUGGGAGAAAAUUAGAAAAUCUUGGUAUGCCUGUCUACACACAGUGAUGUUCUGCCACGGAUGGCAGAAAAAGGCAGCAUCGAGUCAUGGAUGACUCGUUGUUGCCCUUCACGUCUCUCCAAGAAAAUCUAAUUCAGGCAUACCUAGACUUUUCUUAUUUUCGUAC